CCCAUCCUACGGGGGGCAGCAGUGAGGAAUAUUGGUCAAUGGGCGGGAGCCUGAACCAGCCAAGCCGCGUGAAGGAAGAGGGCGCCAGGCGUUGUAAACCUCUUUUGCCGGGGAGCAACGGGCGUCACGUGUGGCGCCACUGAGAGUACCCGGAGAAAAAGCAUCGGCUAACUCCGUGCCAGCAGCCGCGGUAAUACGGAGGAUGCGAGCGUUAUCCGGAUUUAUUGGGUUUAAAGGGUGCGUAGGCGGAUCGUUAAGUCAGUGGUCAAAUUGAGGGGCUCAACCCCUUCCCGCCAUUGAAACUG
rnacentral:rRNA from 1 species